UAACGGCGAGUGAACCGGGAUGAGCUCAAAUUUGAAAUCUGGCGUCUUUCAGGCGUCCGAGUUGUAAUCUAUAGAGGCGUUUUCCGCGCCGGACCGCGUCCAAGUCUCUUGGAAUAGAGUAUCAAAGAGGGUGACAAUCCCGUACUUGACGCGACAACCGGUGCUCUGUGAUACGUUCUCAAUGAGUCGAGUUGUUUGGGAAUGCAGCUCUAAAUGGGUGGUAAAUUCCAUCUAAGGCUAAAUAUUGGCGAGAGACCGAUAGCGAACAAGUACCGUGAGGGAAAGAUGAAAAGCACUUUGGAAAGAGAGUUAAACAGCACGUGAAAUUGUUAAAAGGGAAACGAUUGAAGUCAGUCGUGUGGGAGGUAUUCAGCCGUCUCUGGCGGUGUAUUUGCUUCUCACGGGUCAACAUCAGUUUGAUCCGGUAGAAAAAGGCGGGAAGAAGGUGGCACCCUCGGGUGUGUUAUAGCUUCCUGUCAUAUGUGCCGGACCAGACUGAGGAACGCAGCUUGCAGCAAUGCCGGGGUUCGCCCACGUACAAGCUUAGGAUGUUGACAUAAUGGCUUUAAA
rnacentral:rRNA from 1 species